rnacentral:ncRNA from 13 species
AAGUUGGUAUUCUAACGCCAUGGAAUAGCUUCUGACUCUGGUGUUUGUUGCACAGGGGGAAGCCAAGAUGGGCUGGAGUUAGCCGUGUCUCCAGUUCUCUUGGCUUU